UGUAACUCCUUUUCUCCUCCCCAAACUUGAUUAAAAUGCCAGGAACAGGCUUCUACUCCAAUAUGAUGCGAUAACUGAAAUUACCCUCCCACCAAACAGAGAAAACUAUUGCUUCAAAAUAUAUGAAAUAAUUGUUUUCAGACAUUAGGCAACAAUUAGUCCAGGACUGUGAUCCCUGAAGUAAGAGAAACAAACAAGGUGGGCUCUAUGAUUGCCUAAGUUUCUACUUAGAGGAAUAUUCCAGACAGCAAUUCAGGUAGGGGAAUCCCCAGCAGAGCAUGGUAGUCUUGCUGAGGAGUUAAGGAGACAGAGAUAGGAGUUCAGGGAGGCUGAGGUAGCUAGAAGUUGCAGGGCAGAGUUCCAGGAAGAAGUGAGCUAUGUAAAAAAAAAAAAAAAAAAAACUCCAGAAAUCUGCAUAUAGUCCCCUUUGAGUCUUUGCUGAAUACUAAACUUCACAUGUGUAGAGUGAAACUCAACAAAACCAGGCAGAAAAGGAACAAUAGGCUGGUAAAUUCUCAGAGCUCACCCAUGGCAGGGAGACAUUCAAGCUCCAACCUGCUAGAGUAGAGAGUUCUUGUUGAUUACCCAGGGUAUUCAAGAGACCCAAGAAGGGUUAUAUCUUAGGAGUAGGAAUCCUAUCCCAAGAGAAAAGGCUCACCCAGACCUAAUCUAAUAAAGAUUAAAAAUAAGCUCAAAAGGAUCAAACUGAUUUGCAAGUAACUUAACUUAGGCUGCCAGAACAAAGUCUAACACUCUCUAAAGGAAGACAACAAUAUCCCGAUGCUUAACAUCACAACAUUUACAAUGUCCAACAUCCAGUUAAAAAUGACUAGACAUGCAUAGAAGUAGGAAAAUAUAAAACCCAUAAUCAGGAGAAAAAUCAUUUAAUAGAAACAUAUUCAGAAACAAUAAAGAUGAAUGGCUCAAUAUGCUCAAAAGUUUAAAGAAAAACAACAUUCACAGGGAAAGAAAUGGGAGAUAAAAAGUACAAUAUCUGAAAUGAAAUUUUCACUGGAUAGAAUUAACAGUAGACUAGACACUACAGAAUAAAAAGAAAAUCAGUGAAUUUAAAGAUACAGCAACAGAACUGUACAAACUGAAGAACAGAAGAGAAAAAAAGUAUCGAAAAACAUUCAAACAGCCUCAGCAAUCUGUGAGACACUAUAAGGCAUUCUAACAUAUGUAUAAUUGCAGUCCCACAGGAUAGGAUAAGGAAGUGGAAGAAUAAGACAAAUUUAAAGAAAUAGCCAAAAAAUUUCCAAAUUUGGUUUAAAAAAAACUACUGUAGUAAGUUGAAUGGUGGUGCCCCCACAAAAUAUAUGUCUACAUCCUAACUGCCAGAACCUGUGAAUGUGACCUUAUUUGGAAAAAGGGUCUUUGCAGAUAUAAUUAAGUUAAGGAUCUUAAAAUGAGAUCGGCCUGAAUUAUCCAGGUAGGCCCUAAAUCCGGUUUAUAAAACACACACACAGAGAAGUUCCAUGUGAAGAUGCAGGCAGAGACUGAAGUUAUGCAACCACAAGCCAAGGAAUGCUUGGAGCCGCCAGAAGCUUGAAGAGACAAGGAAGGAUUCUCCCCUAGAGACUUUGGAAGGAGUGGAGCUGAUACCUUGAACCUGGACUUCUAAAAUGAUGAGAGAAUAAAUUUUUGUUGUUUUAACCCACCCAGUCUGUGGUAAUUUGUUGCGGAAACUAAUACAAUGAUAAAUCCACAGAACCAAGGAACUCAAUGAAUACCAAGGAACUCAAUGAAUCCCAAGGAAGAAAAACACCAAAAAAACCUACGCCAAGGCCCAUCAUAAUCAAAUGCUGAAAACUAAUGAUAAAAAGAAAAUCUUAAAAGCAUUUUAAAAAAAUUUUUAUCGGAGUAUAGUUGAUUUACAGUGUUGUGGAAAGCAUUUUGAGAAUUGAGACACGCUAUGUAUGUAAGGACAAAUAUAGGAAAUACUACAUACUUUUCGUCAGUAACUAUGCAAGCUAGAAGACAACAGAAUGAAAUCUUUGAAGUGCUGGGGAAAAAAUUGUCAACCUAGAAUCCUAUAUCCUGUUAAAAAUAUACUUCAAAAAUGAAAUGGGGGAAUAAAGACUUUUAUGGACAAACAAGAGCUAAGAGAAUUUAUCACCAGAAGACAUGCAAGAAAUGUUAAAUGAAGUUAUUCAAGUGGAAGGAAAAUGAUACCAGAUGGAAACUUAGAUCUAUACAAAGGAAUGAAGAUUCCCUCAAAAGGUAAAUGUGUGAUGGACUUCCCUCGUGGCGCAGUGGUUAAGACUCUGCGCUCCCAAUGCAGGGGGCCCAGCUUCGAUCCCUGGUCAGGGAGCUAGAUCCCACAUGCAUGCUGCAACUAAGAGUUCUCAUGCUGCAACUAAGGAACCCGCCACCUGCCACAACUAAGACCCGGCACAACCACAUUAAAAAAAUAAAGAAAAGUAAAUGUGUGAGUAAGUAUAAGAAUGCCAAUAAAAUAUUUAAAACCCACAAGAAAGUGGCUGGGGCAUCACAAUUGACUUAAGGGAACAGAAGGUACUAGAACCCAAGCAUUCACAGAGGGAAACCCCAGUGAUUAGCAAGCUGGAUUCCCCCCUUAGCACCCUUGACAGGUGCAGAACAUGCAGGCAGUGGGAACAGCAGAGGUGGGAGAAAGGCUCAGGACUGAAUACAGGGGGGUCUGGUUAAAAUUCAGAACCCCCUCCCCAAUCUUGUAAAGCUGGGAGAUGCCCCCCUUCCUCUCCACAGGAUGCCAGGGGUUUAUUCUUUAUAGAAAUUGAGCUUCAGAUGCACUGAACUCGGACAUUGGUCUGAGGAUGAGGUCAUGGGACUGAAAACUGGUGAACAGUGAAAGCCCAGUCCCUUCCCUGCCUCAAGUCCUGAACCACUGGCAGCCAGACUGCACAUAACACUGCCCCAUCCUACCCCUAGCAGGAGACUGGAGAAUUCCUUCUUGCAGAAACUAGAGGCACCACAGACCUCUGGGUACAGAAAUUUGGGGAUCCCAACAAUAAGCAGGCCAGUCAUCUUAGAGCAGCACCCGUUCGUUAAUAAGCUCCACACCCCCAUCCUUAAAUAUGCCCCAAGAGCCGAGGGUGAGUGGACACUUGAGGAAAGCUGCCAACAUGAAAGAUACCAAAACAUGCAAAUAGAUGCUAAAAACCCAGAGGAAACAACUGUCAAUGCAGGAAACAGAUGAAAAAAAAAUUUGGCCGGGGGGGACAGUAAUUUACACCCUGAGAAAAAUAUGAAAAGGAAAUUGAAUUCAUGAAACAAAAUGGGACGUUCUGACCUGUGACUUCUUUCCCUUGCUUUCUUUAUGCCAGCCAUACCUGGACAGCUUCACCUGCCCCAGUUCUCCCAUCACAGUAAACAGCACCUCAGUUCACUCCCUUUCCAGGUCUAUUCUUCACAGGGCCCAUCAUAGGUGCUGUCAUCCUGUGAAAUAUUCCUCAGGUCCUGACGCCCCUUAGCUCAAAAUCUCUCCAUGGCUUCCCAUCCAGUUGAGAAAAGAAUCCUGGACGUCUCUUUGAACUCACAUGCUCUCCCAUCUCUCCAAGCUCCACUCCUGCAUAUCAGCCUUCUCCGGAACCAUCUUCUCCUGGGUACCAGUAGCCACAAAGCUGCUUCUCGCACUUCAUUCAGGCCACUGCUCAAAUGUCACCUCCUUAGAAAGCCUGGUCCUGACAACCCAUCUCAAAUGUCAGUUGCUAUUUAUCUAUCUGUUGUCCCUUAUCCUGCUCUAGUUCUCUCCCAACAUUAAAUUGCUUAUUUAUUUUUU